rnacentral:tRNA from 1 species
GCCGAGGUGGCGAAAUGGCAGACGCGCAGCCUUGAGGUGGCUGUGCCCGUAAGGGUUUGCGGGUUCAAGUCCCGCCCUCGGCA